rnacentral:rRNA from 1 species
UACCUACGGGAGGCAGCAGUGGGGAAUAUUGCACAAUGGGGGGAACCCUGAUGCAGCGAUGCCGCGUGGAGGAAGAAGGUUUUCGGAUUGUAAACUCCUUUUAUCAGGGACGAUAAUGACGGUACCUGAAGAAAAAGCUCCGGCUAACUACGUGCCAGCAGCCGCGGUAAUACGUAGGGGGCAAGCGUUAUCCGGAUUCAUUGGGCGUAAAGCGCGCGCAGGCGGGCCGCUAAGCGGGACCUCUAAUCUUGGGGCUCAACCUCAAGCCGGGUCCCGAACUGGCAGCCUCGAGUGCGGUAGGGGUA